GUUUGCUUUUUAUCUCUCUAAAUAGAGGGAUAAAAAAAAAUUAUGCCUUUAAAUAUUUGCUUUCUUAUCUCACAUUUUACACAAACACCAUUUUUCCUUCCUUAUUUUCACUUCAAGGAAGGAUAAUAUUAUCACACCAAAAUGGAGGGAUAAUACUAUCCCUCCUUAAAGUGAAAAUAAGGAAAGAAAAAUAGUGUUUGUGUAAAAUAUGGGAUAAGAAUUCGGUAUCAGACCGGAGAACUUGUUAAUCUCGCCAUGUUAAUUUCGUUGAUCGAACGUCAAGAGCUUAAAGAAUUCAGUAUCAGACCGGAGAACUUGUUCCCCUCCAAAUACAGAGUUGUGAGCUGUUUCAGCUCCCUGAUUCCAGCCGGAAUCAAGCCGGAGAAGCCGUUGUUGUGCAAGUCGAUCGACACUAGCGACGCAACCUUGGAAAUGUCAGCAAGCACUUGCGCUUCGAGGUGUUGGUGGCGCCGCUGGAAUCAGGCUCGAACACAAGGAGCGUGGCGGAGACGGUGAGUAGGACUAGGGAAUUGAUGAUGUAAGGGGUGAAUUUGUGGUGGUUGAGGAAGAGGGAGAAGAUGGCGUUGAACCAUAAUUGGCUCGCAUAGAUCAGCGUGUAGGUGGUGACCGGGAUGUAUCGGAUUCCUGCCGAGUAGAGCAUGCAAUCGACGGCCAAAAACACUUCGAUUGCUUAUGCCGCCGUUGUCGUAGUACAAUCUAUCGAGGAUUGUUCCGACGGUCUGUCUAGCGAGGACGAAGAAUGAGUAGAUGAGCAUUUCUAGCCACCAUUUGUACUGUGUCACCAAAGAUUUCUUCUUGAUUUCGGGCGCGCUGUUGGUUUCAGACGAAAAAGUAUUAGUUGAUGUGGGAUGGAAGACGAUAUAAUAUACCAAUUAUAAGCGUUUGGGUUGCUUUGUUUAUUGAUGACAAGAUUGAUUAUGUAAUUAAAAUGUUAGCUUUCAAGUGACUAGAUAGCACAUUAUGAGUGA